rnacentral:piRNA from 1 species
AUGUCUCACAUCCAGGACAUGCUGAUGC